rnacentral:ncRNA from 1 species
GGGGAUAUGGCGAAAUUGGUAGACGCUACGGACUUAAUUAGAUUGGGCCUUGGUAUGGAAACUCGCCAAGUGAAAACUUUCAAAUUCAGAGAAACCCCGGAAUUAAUAAAAGGGGGCAAUCCUGAGCCAAAUCCUGUUUUCUGAAAACAAAGGUUCAGAAAGUGAAAAAGGGGAUAGGUGCAGAGACUCAAUGGAAGCUGUUCUAACAAAUGGAGUUGAUUGUGGGAGUAGAGAAGUCUUUCCAUCCAAAAUUCAGCAAAAUUCAGUAAGUAUAAGUAUUAAGGAUGGGGUGAAGGAUAAACGUGUAUACUAGUAUAUUAAAUGAGUAAUGACAGCCUUUUGUUUUUUCUAUGAAAAAACAAAGAAUUGGUGUGAAUAGAUUCUACGUUGAAGAAAGAAUCGAAUAUUCAUUGAUCGAAUGAUUCACUCCAUAGUCUGAUAAAUCUUUUCAAGAACUGAUUAAUCGGACGAGAAUAAAGAUAGAGUCCCAUUCUACAUGUCAAUGCUGGCAGCAACGAAAUUUAUAGUUAAGAGGAAAAUCCGUCGACUUUUAAAAUCGUGAGGGUUCAAGCCCCUCUAUCCCCAA